rnacentral:ribozyme from 1 species
GGCCCGCAAAAUCUCUGUUCCAAUAAUCAGAGAAAAACAGAACGCAUCAGUGAGGUUGAUCGCGAAAGACGAAAAAGAAAGACUCUUUCGGAAAGACUUUUUUGGUGUUCAUUCACUUUUUUUUAUAUAUCUUUUCCUUCCUGUUACU